UUUUUUUUUUUGUGUUUUUUUUAAUCCUUCUUGUUUUCUGUUUGUAAUUCCAUUGAUGUCUUGAUUUGCUAGUGUGUAUUAUUAGAUGCAUGCAUCGCUUUUUCAUUUGGGUUUGCUGCGGUGGGGAUUUUAGUUUCAGGUUGAAGUUAUUUUCUGUAUAAUGAGCUUGGAAUGGAAGCAAUGUUUUGUGUUUGAACGUGCUGUUAUUUUCCUUUUCCUCAUCAUCUAGCCUUCUAUGUGAUAAUUUUCGCAGUUGCAUUCAAUACUAGCUUGCUGAAUAAUUUUUUGGCCAAACAAGUUCUGAAAACUACGUGUUGUGAAAUCCUGUGCCAGUUUUGAAGUUUCUGUGAACUAUACCAGUCUAAAAUCUUGGCUGCUGGAGAUAGUGUUGCUUAGCGAAGCAUUUUUAUUCGGUGAUUUGGUUUAUUUUGUAAUUGCGUGCAAAAGCAUAUACAUAUGUGCAUAUUAAAUUUUGUAAAACAUAUAAUCCAUUGAACUUGUAAAAUAUUGCUUUCUUCAUGUUUGUCACUGUUGAGAUGAUUAUGUGAUUUGCUAUUCAUCUUCUUGUUCAAUGACGCAUAGGAAAGAUGUUUGCAGCUGUUUCCAUUAUUUUUGUAUUUUGUUGUUUUGAUUGUGGCUUUCCCUCUUUUCAAUGAUUCAAGAGGCCACUUGAUCCUAUGGUAUGCCAAACUGCACACUAGUGGCCAUAUAUUUAAAUUCUUGUAGGAAGGCAGCCCUAAUGCUAAUUGAAUUUUAUUCAUUGUUUUGAGAGGGACCUUGAAAAGAAAAUUUGAACAUAUGGUGGAGUUGUGGACAAGCAAUGAUAUAUUGGUUGAAAUUGGGUGGACUCCAUUAAUUGUGAUUAUUUGUAAUUAACAGUCAAAGUUCAGAUGUUGAUAACACAAGAAUGGACUUUUGAACUUGGAGCUUGUUAUUUCACCUUAACUGGACUGCAGAUGAACUUCUUUGUUUAUUCAUGAGGAUGGCAGCUAUGCUUAAAUGACAUAGAAAGUUUAGUUCCAGAGAGUGAUUCAAAUACGAACACUAACAGGACAAAAACCUACAAUUAUUCUGAUGCAGUAUAAGAAGCUUAGUGUUUUAUUUAGAAAUUUUAAUUAUUAUAGAAUUAGG
rnacentral:misc_RNA from 1 species